rnacentral:pre_miRNA from 1 species
AGUGGGAUAGCUGGGUCAAAUGACAGUUCCAUUCCAGUUUUUCUAAGGAAUCUCCAUACUGCUUUCCAGAGUGGUUGUACCAAUUUGCAGUGCCACCAGCGAU